UACAGAGGUCUCAAGCGUUGUUCGGAUUCAUUGGGCGUAAAGGGUGCGUAGGCGGCGCGGUAAGUCGGGUGUGAAAUCUCGGGGCUUAACUCCGAAACUGCAUUCGAUACUGCCGUGCUUGAGGACUGGAGAGGAGACUGGAAUUUACGGUGUAGCGGUGAAAUGCGUAGAUAUCUGGAGGAACACCGGUGGCGAAGGCGGCAUCCUGGACCAAUAUUGACGCUGAGGAGCGAAAGCCAGGGGAGCAAACGGG
rnacentral:rRNA from 1 species